rnacentral:rRNA from 1 species
UACGUAGGCAGCGAGCGUUGUUCGGAGUUACUGGGCGUAAAGGGCGCGUAGGCGGGGUGUCACGUCCGCUGUGAAAGCCUGGAGCUUAACUCCAGCGGGUCGGUGGAUACGGGCACUCUUGAAGGCGUUAGGGGAAGAUGGAAUUACCCGUGGAGCGGUGAAAUGCGUAGAGAUGGGUAGGAACACCGGUGGCGAAGGCGGUCUUCUGGGACGUCCUUGACGCUGAUGCGCGAAAGCUGGGGGAGCGAACGGG